GCACAGAUGGUGUAACGGCAACAUCGCGGUCUCCAAAACCGUUGUUCUAGGUUCGAAUCCUAGUCUGUGCG
rnacentral:tRNA from 1 species